AGGGAUUGCCCCAGUAACGGCGAGUGAAGCGGCAACAGCUCAAAUUUGAAAUCUGGCCCCCCGCGGGCCCGAGUUUUACUUUGGAGAGGACGCUUCUGGCGCGGCGCCGUCCGAGUUCCCUGGAACGGGACGCCGGAGAGGGUGAGAGCCCCGUACGGGCGGCCGCCUAGCCUCUGCGAAGCUCCUUCGACGAGUCGAGUAGUUUGGGAAUGCUGCUCAAAAUGGGAGGUAAAUUUCUUCUAAAGCUAAAUACCGGCCAGAGACCGAUAGCGCACAAGUAGAGUGAUCGAAAGAUGAAAAGCACUUUGAAAAGAGGGUCAAACAGUACGUGAAAUUGUUGAAAGGGAAGCGCCUGUGGCCAGACUUGCGCCCCGCGGACCACCCGGCGCCUCGCGCGCCGGGGCACGCCAGCGGGGCGCAGGCCAGCAUCGGCUCUCUCGGGGGGACAAAGGCCGCGGGAACGUAGCGCCCUCGCGGCGUAUUAUAGCCCGCGGCGCCAUGCCCCCGGGGGGGCCGAGGACCGCGCUCCGGCAAGGAUGCUGGCGUAAUGGCCACCGGCGACCCGUCUUGAAACACGGACCAAGGAGUCAAGCAUUGGGGCGAGUGUCUGGGUGGCAAGCCCGCACGCGGAAUGAAAGUGAACGCAGGUGGGAGCUUCGGCGCACCACCGACCGAUCCUGAUGUCCUCGGAUGGAUUUGAGUAGGAGCCCCGCCGCUUGGACCCGAAAGAUGGUGAACUAUGCCUGUAUAGGGUGAAGCCAGAGGAAACUCUGGUGGAGGCCCGCAGCGGUU
rnacentral:rRNA from 1 species